UCCGAGUUGUCCCCGGCAGUCCCCUUAGAGUCCCCGGCAUUACCCGCUGGCAACUAAGAGCAGGGGUUGCGCUCGUUGCGGCACUUAAGCCAACACCUCACGGCACGGGCUGACGACAGCCAUGCAGCACCUGUGUUCCGACCUAUUGCUAGGAGGAAUCCAUCUCUGGAAACCGUCCGGACAUGUCAAGGGCUGGUAAGGUUCUUCGCGUUGCGUCGAAUUGAACCACAUGCACCGCUGCUUGUGCGGGUCCCCGUCAAUUCCUUUGAGUUUUAGCCUUGCGGCCGUACUCCCCAGGCGGGGCACUUAAUGCGUUAGCUGCGGCACGGGAGGAGUCGACACCUCCCACACCUAGUGCCCAUCGUUUACGGCGUGGACUAC
rnacentral:misc_RNA from 1 species